rnacentral:rRNA from 1 species
UACGAAGGGGGCUAGCGUUGCUCGGAAUCACUGGGCGUAAAGCGCACGUAGGCGGCUUGUUAAGUCAGGGGUGAAAUCCUGGAGCUCAACUCCAGAACUGCCUUUGAUACUGGCGAGCUUGAGUCCGGGAGAGGUGAGUGGAACUGCCGGAGUGUAGAGGUGAAAUUCGUAGAUAUUCGCAAGAACACCAGUGGCGAAGGCGGAGCU